rnacentral:tRNA from 1 species
CCUCGAUGGAGGAGGACCUCGACCGGAUCUCCCGCGGGGACGAGCAGCGGGUGGCGUGGCUGCGCCGGUUCUACUUCGGCGCCGAGGGC